rnacentral:rRNA from 1 species
AUUGAACGCUGGCGGCAUGCCUUACACAUGCAAGUCGAACGGCAGCACGGAGCUUGUUCUGGUGGCGAGUGGCGAACGGGUGAGUAAUAUAUCGGAACGUACCCUGGAGUGGGGGAUAACGUAGCGAAAGUUACGCUAAUACCGCAUACGAUCUAAGGAUGAAAGUGGGGGAUCCGCAAGAACCUCAUGCUCGUGGAGCGGCCGAUAUCUGAUUAGCUAGUUGGUAGGGUAAAAGCCUACCAAGGCAUCGAUCAGUAGCUGGUCUGAGAGGACGACCAGCCACACUGGAACUGAGACACGGUCCAGACUCCUACGGGAGGCAGCAGUGGGGAAUUUUGGACAAUGGGCGCAAGCCUGAUCCAGCAAUGCCGCGUGAGUGAAGAAGGCCUUCGGGUUGUAAAGCUCUUUUGUCAGGGAAGAAACGGUGGAGGCUAAUAUCCUCUGCUAAUGACGGUACCUGAAGAAUAAGCACCGGCUAACUACGUGCCAGCAGCCGCGGUAAUACAUAGGGUGCAAGCGUUAAUCGGAAUUACUGGGCGUAAAGCGUGCGCAGGCGGUUUUGUAAGUCUGAUGUGAAAUCCCCGGGCUCAACCUGGGAAUUGCAUUGGAGACUGCAAGGCUAGAAUCUGGCAGAGGGGGGUAGAAUUCCACGUGUAGCAGUGAAAUGCGUAGAUAUGUGGAGGAACACCGAUGGCGAAGGCAGCCCCCUGGGUCAAGAUUGACGCUCAUGCACGAAAGCGUGGGGAGCAAACAGGAUUAGAUACCCUGGUAGUCCACGCCCUAAACGAUGUCUACUAGUUGUCGGGUCUUAAUUGACUUGGUAACGCAGCUAACGCGUGAAGUAGACCGCCUGGGGAGUACGGUCGCAAGAUUAAAACUCAAAGGAAUUGACGGGGACCCGCACAAGCGGUGGAUGAUGUGGAUUAAUUCGAUGCAACGCGAAAAACCUUACCUACCCUUGACAUGGCUGGAAUCCCCGAGAGAUCGGGGAGUGCUCGAAAGAGAACCAGUACACAGGUGCUGCAUGGCUGUCGUCAGCUCGUGUCGUGAGAUGUUGGGUUAAGUCCCGCAACGAGCGCAACCCUUGUCAUUAGUUGCUACGAAAGGGCACUCUAAUGAGACUGCCGGUGACAAACCGGAGGAAGGUGGGGAUGACGUCAAGUCCUCAUGGCCCUUAUGGGUAGGGCUUCACACGUCAUACAAUGGUACAUACAGAGCGCCGCCAACCCGCGAGGGGGAGCUAAUCGCAGAAAGUGUAUCGUAGUCCGGAUUGUAGUCUGCAACUCGACUGCAUGAAGUUGGAAUCGCUAGUAAUCGCGGAUCAGCAUGUCGCGGUGAAUACGUUCCCGGGUCU